rnacentral:rRNA from 1 species
GAUGAACGCUGGCGGCGUGCCUAAUACAUGCAAGUCGAGCGAACGGACGAGAAGCUUGCUUUUCUGUUGUUAGCGGCGGACGGGUGAGUAACACGUGGAUAACCUCCCUAUAAGACUGGGAUAACUUCGGGAAACGGGAGCUAAUACCGGAUAAUAUUUUGAACCGCAUGGUUCAAGAGUGAAUGACGGUCUUGCUGUCACUUAUAGAUGGAUCCGCGCUGCAUUAGCUAGUUGGUAAGGUAACGGCUUACCAAGGCAACGAUGCAUAGCCGACCGGAGAGGGUGGUAGCCCACCCUGGAGCGGAGACAGGGUCCAGAGUCCUGCGGGAGGCAGCAGUCGGGAAUCGGCCGCAAUGGGGGAGAGCCUGACGGAACAACGCGGCGUGAGUGAUGAAGGUCCCCGGAUCGGAAAGCUGUGUUAUUGGGGGAGAACAGAUGUGUAAUUAGCUGUGGAGAUAUUGACGGUACCUGAUCAAGAAGCCACGGCUAACUACGUG